rnacentral:tRNA from 1 species
GAGGGUGUAGCUCAGUGGUAGAGCACAUGCUUAGCAUGCACGAGGUCCUAGGUUCAAUCCCCAGUACCUCCU